AUGAACGCUAGCUACAGGCUUAACACAUGCAAGUCGAGGGGCAGCAUGGUCUUAGCUUGCUAAGGCUGAUGGCGACCGGCGCACGGGUGAGUAACACGUAUCCAACCUGCCGUCUACUCUUGGCCAGCCUUCUGAAAGGAAGAUUAAUCCAGGAUGGGAUCAUGAGUUCACAUGUCCGCAUGAUUAAAGGUAUUUUCCGGUAGACGAUGGGGAUGCGUUCCAUUAGAUAGUAGGCGGGGUAACGGCCCACCUAGUCAACGAUGGAUAGGGGUUCUGAGAGGAAGGUCCCCCACAUUGGAACUGAGACACGGUCCAAACUCCUACGGGAGGCAGCAGUGAGGAAUAUUGGUCAAUGGGCGAUGGCCUGAACCAGCCAAGUAGCGUGAAGGAUGACUGCCCUAUGGGUUGUAAACUUCUUUUAUAAAGGAAUAAAGUCGGGUAUGCAUACCCGUUUGCAUGUACUUUAUGAAUAAGGAUCGGCUAACUCCGUGCCAGCAGCCGCGGUAAUACGGAGGAUCCGAGCGUUAUCCGGAUUUAUUGGGUUUAAAGGGAGCGUAGAUGGAUGUUUAAGUCAGUUGUGAAAGUUUGCGGCUCAACCGUAAAAUUGCAGUUGAUACUGGAUGUCUUGAGUGCAGUUGAGGCAGGCGGAAUUCGUGGUGUAGCGGUGAAAUGCUUAGAUAUCACGAAGAACUCCGAUUGCGAAGGCAGCCUGCUAAGCUGCAACUGACAUUGAGGCUCGAAAGUGUGGGUAUCAAACAGGAUUAGAUACCCUGGUAGUCCACGCCGUAAACGAUGAAUACUAGGUGUUGGGAAGCAUUGCUUCUCGGUGCCGUCGCAAACGCAGUAAGUAUUCCACCUGGGGAGUACGUUCGCAAGAAUGAAACUCAAAGGAAUUGACGGGGGCCCGCACAAGCGGAGGAACAUGUGGUUUAAUUCGAUGAUACGCGAGGAACCUUACCCGGGCUUAAAUUGCACUCGAAUGAUCCGGAAACGGUUCAGCUAGCAAUAGCGAGUGUGAAGGUGCUGCAUGGUUGUCGUCAGCUCGUGCCGUGAGGUGUCGGCUUAAGUGCCAUAACGAGCGCAACCCUUGUUGUCAGUUACUAACAGGUGAUGCUGAGGACUCUGACAAGACUGCCAUCGUAAGAUGUGAGGAAGGUGGGGAUGACGUCAAAUCAGCACGGCCCUUACGUCCGGGGCUACACACGUGUUACAAUGGGGGGUACAGAGGGCCGCUACCACGCGAGUGGAUGCCAAUCCCUAAAACCCCUCUCAGUUCGGACUGGAGUCUGCAACCCGACUCCACGAAGCUGGAUUCGCUAGUAAUCGCGCAUCAGCCACGGCGCGGUGAAUACGUUCCCGGGCCUUGUACACACCGCCCGUCAAGCCAUGGGAGCCGGGGGUACCUGAAGUGCGUAACCGCGAGGAUCGCCCUAGGGUAAAACUGGUGACUGGGGCU
rnacentral:rRNA from 1 species